AGAUUACCGCGCACCAUUGCCGAAAGUGCACUGAACGUCUAGAUCAUUAUUAUCAUGACAUACUAUAAAAAAUAGCCGUAUCACCGAGUAUUUUAGAGGAAGGAGAAGUCGUAACAAGGUUUCUGUAGGUGAACCUGCAGAAGGAUCAUUU
rnacentral:rRNA from 1 species